UCCAGCUUGACGCUGGCAGUCUCGCUAGAGUGCCCAACUUAAUGAUGGCAACUAGCAACGAGGGUUGCGCUCGUUGCGGAACUUAAUCCAACACCUCACGGCACGAGCUGACGACAACCAUGCACCACCUGUCACCGGUGCCCGUAGGGGCCCCCUAUUUCUAGGGGGUUUCACCGGGAUGUCAAACCCUGGUAAGGUUCUUCGCGUAGCAUCGAAUUAAACCACAUGCUCCACUGCUUGUGCGGGCCCCCGUCAAUUCCUUUGAGUUUUAGUCUUGCGACCGUACUUCCCAGGCGGGGUACUUAGUGCGUUAGCGCCGGUUCGGCGGGGGUCAAGACCCACCAAACCUAGUACCCAUCGUUUACAGCGUGGACUAC
rnacentral:misc_RNA from 1 species